rnacentral:misc_RNA from 1 species
UACGUCAAUCCUAGAAACCAACAAAAUAGGAUCAAACGUCCUAUUUCAUUAUUCCAUGCUAAUGUAUUCAAGCGCAAGCCUGCUUUAAACACUCUAAUUUUUUCAAAGUAACAGUCCUGAUUCCCCGCAACACCAACUGAAUGGCAUUACGGUUCUUCAGAAGGGAGGAAUCAGUGACACCAGUGCAUACCGAAGGCACGACCAGCG